rnacentral:rRNA from 1 species
UUUGAUCCUGGCUCAGGAUGAACGCUAGCUACAGGCUUAACACAUGCAAGUCGAGGGGCAGCAUGGUCUUAGCUUGCUAAGGCCGAUGGCGACCGGCGCACGGGUGAGUAACACGUAUCCAACCUGCCGUCUACUCUUGGACAGCCUUCUGAAAGGAAGAUUAAUACAAGAUGGCAUCAUGAGUCCGCAUGUUCACAUGAUUAAAGGUAUUCCGGUAGACGAUGGGGAUGCGUUCCAUUAGAUAGUAGGCGGGGUAACGGCCCACCUAGUCUUCGAUGGAUAGGGGUUCUGAGAGGAAGGUCCCCCACAUUGGAACUGAGACACGGUCCAAACUCCUACGGGAGGCAGCAGUGAGGAAUAUUGGUCAAUGGGCGAGAGCCUGAACCAGCCAAGUAGCGUGAAGGAUGACUGCCCUAUGGGUUGUAAACUUCUUUUAUAAAGGAAUAAAGUCGGGUAUGGAUACCCGUUUGCAUGUACUUUAUGAAUAAGGAUCGGCUAACUCCGUGCCAGCAGCCGCGGUAAUACGGAGGAUCCGAGCGUUAUCCGGAUUUAUUGGGUUUAAAGGGAGCGUAGAUGGAUGUUUAAGUCAGUUGUGAAAGUUUGCGGCUCAACCGUAAAAUUGCAGUUGAUACUGGAUAUCUUGAGUGCAGUUGAGGCAGGCGGAAUUCGUGGUGUAGCGGUGAAAUGCUUAGAUAUCACGAAGAACUCCGAUUGCGAAGGCAGCCUGCUAAGCUGCAACUGACAUUGAGGCUCGAAAGUGUGGGUAUCAAACAGGAUUAGAUACCCUGGUAGUCCACACGGUAAACGAUGAAUACUCGCUGUUUGCGAUAUACAGCAAGCGGCCAAGCGAAAGCGUUAAGUAUUCCACCUGGGGAGUACGCCGGCAACGGUGAAACUCAAAGGAAUUGACGGGGGCCCGCACAAGCGGAGGAACAUGUGGUUUAAUUCGAUGAUACGCGAGGAACCUUACCCGGGCUUAAAUUGCAGAUGAAUUACGGUGAAAGCCGUAAGCCGCAAGGCAUCUGUGAAGGUGCUGCAUGGUUGUCGUCAGCUCGUGCCGUGAGGUGUCGGCUUAAGUGCCAUAACGAGCGCAACCCUUGUUGUCAGUUACUAACAGGUUCCGCUGAGGACUCUGACAAGACUGCCAUCGUAAGAUGUGAGGAAGGUGGGGAUGACGUCAAAUCAGCACGGCCCUUACGUCCGGGGCUACACACGUGUUACAAUGGGGGGUACAGAGGGCCGCUACCACGCGAGUGGA